rnacentral:rRNA from 1 species
AUACGUAGGGGGCGAGCGUUGUCCGGAAUGAUUGGGCGUAAAGGGCGCGUAGGCGGCCCGGUAAGUCUGGAGUGAAAGUCCUGCUUUUAAGGUGGGAAUUGCUUUGGAUACUGUCGGGCUUGAGUGCAGGAGAGGUAAGUGGAAUUCCCAGUGUAGCGGUGAAAUGCGUAGAGAUUGGGAGGAACACCAGUGGCGAAGGCGACUUACUGGACUGUAACUGAAGCUGAGGCGCGAAAGUGUGGGGAGCAAACAGGAUUAGAUACCCUGGUAGUCCACACUGUAAACGAUGAAUGCUAGGUGUAGGGGGUAUCGACCCCUUCUGUGCCGCAGUUAACACAAUAAGCAUUCCGCCUGGGGAGUACGGCCGCAAGGUUGAAACUCAAAUGAAUUGACGGGG